rnacentral:rRNA from 1 species
GACGAACGCUGGCGGCGUGCCUAAUACAUGCAAGUUGAGCGCUGAAGGCUGGUACUUGUACCAACUGGAUGAGCAGCGCACGGGUGAGUAACGCGUGGGGAAUCUGCCUUUGAGCGGGGGACAACAUUUGGAAACGAAUGCUAAUACCGCAUAAAAACUUUAAACACAAGUUUUAAGUUUGAAAGAUGCAAUUGCAUCACUCAAAGAUGAUCCCUCGUUGUAUUAGCUAGUUGGUGAGGUAAAGGCUCACCAAGGCGAUGAUACAUAGCCGACCUGAGAGGGUGGUCGGCCACAUUGGGACUGAGACACGGCCCAAACUCCUACGGGAGGCAGCAGUAGGGAAUCUUCGGCAAUGGGCGAGAGUCUGACCGAGCAACGCCGCGUGAGUGAAGAAGGUUUUCGGAUCGUAAAACUCUGUUGGUAGAGAAGAACGUUGGUGAGAGUGGAAAGCUCAUCAAGUGACGGUAACUACCCAGAAAGGGACGGCUAACUACGUG